AAAAAGGCAAACCGUGGGUUCCCGUACCAACGUUUGACUGUCCAUCUUAUAUAAAAUUUUUUUAUAAUUAGUAUUUUCAUUGUUGUUAGAUGAUAAAACAUGAUUAAUACUUUGUGCGUGACUUAUCUUUUUAAUUUUUUCAUAUUUUUUUUCAAAUAAGACGAACGGUCAAACGUUGGACACGGAAACCAGGGUUUGUCUUUUU
rfam:Oryza sativa Indica Group cultivar 93-11 Ctg037571, whole genome shotgun sequence.